UGGAGGCUGGCGCUCAAUAGCGCCCGAGCCGCCUCCUGCUCCAGUGGAGGCCGUCGGCGUCCGAUGGCGUCAUCAGAAGCCGAAACCCUUCUUUGGCAUCGCCCCCCACCCCCGGCUUCCGACGUGCUGCGGUGACGCCAUAGCUUGCGGAGGUGCAUGUCAGGGUUGGGGGCUUCGAGGACCUUAUGGAGUCCAAAGAGGGCAAGAGGAAGGCCGAGGACACGGAGGUGGCCGAGCCCCGGAGCAAGCUCUUGCGCUCCUCAGCCUCGCUGCGCACGGAGCCCGCCCUGUACCGCGGGCCCUUCCCCUUCUACCGGCGCCCCUCGGAGGUGGGCUGCUUCUCCCUGGACGCGCAGCGCCGGUACCACGGCGACGCCCGCGCCCUCCGCUACUACAGCCCUCCUCCGGCCCACGGCCCGGGCCCGGACUUUGACCUCAGGGAUGGAUAUCCUGAUCGCUACCAGCCCCGGGAUGAGGAGGUCCGGGAGAGCUUGGACCACCUGCUCCGCUGGGUUCUGGAACACCGAGGCCGACUGGAGGGGGGUCCAGGCUGGCUAGCAGGGGCCAUAGUGACAUGGCGAGGACACCUGACAAAACUGCUAACCACCCCCUACGAGCGGCAGGAGGGCUGGCAGCUUGCGGCCUCCCGUUUCCAGGGGACACUCUACCUGAGUGAGGUGGAGACGCCUGCUGCUCGGGCCCAGAGGCUCACUCGGCCACCCCUCCUCCGUGAGCUCAUGUACAUGGGCUACAAGUUUGAGCAGUACAUGUGUGCAGACAAACCCGGAGGCUCCCCAGAUCCCUCUGGGGAGGUUAACACCAACGUGGCCUUCUGCUCUGUGCUGCGAGGCCGCCUGGGAAACCAUCCUCUGCUCUUCUCCGGGGAGGUAGACUGCACAGACCCCCAGGCUCCAUCCGCACAGCCUCCUGCCUGCUAUGUGGAGCUCAAGACCUCCAAGGAGAUGCACAGCCCCGGCCAGUGGAGGGGCUUCUACAGACACAAACUCCUGAAAUGGUGGGCCCAGUCAUUCCUCCCAGGGGUCCCAAAUGUUGUCGCUGGCUUCCGUAACCCAGAAGGUUUUGUGUGUUCUCUAAAGACCUUUCCUACCAUGGAGAUGUUUGAACACGUCAGGGUAAGGCAGGGUGUCACUGCUCCCACCCAUCUCCCCCUACCUGCCCUGCACCAAGACCCCUGUCUAGCAUCCCUUGCUGCGGUAUGCCUUCCCCUCCUCCCACCCCCACAGUCGUCUGCCUGUCCCCUCAGAAUGACCGCGAUGGCUGGAACCCCUCCGUGUGCAUGAACUUCUGUGCUACCUUCCUCAGCUUUGCCCAGAACACAGUUGUCCAGGAUGACCCCAGGUAAGGCUUGUCCACCUCUUCUCCUGGGAGCCUGGUGGCCCAGUCACCGUGUCUGUGCAUCAAGAUGCACCCUAUACCUUCUUGCCUACGUGGUAUGUGGACGCUCUGACCCAGGAUCUCCCAUCCCCCCCAAAGACAC